rnacentral:rRNA from 1 species
CCCUUAGAUGUUCUGGGCCGCACGCGCGCUACACUGACGGAUUCAACGAGCUUACAACCUUGGCCGAAAGGUCUGGGUAAUCUUCAAAAUCCGUCGUGAUGGGGAUAGAUUAUUGCAAUUAUUAAUCUUCAACGAGGAAUGCCUAGUAAGCGCAAGUCAGCAGCUUGCGUUGAUUACGUCCCUGCCCUUUGUACACACCGCCCGUCGCUCCUACCGAUUGAAUGGUCCGGUGAAGCGUUUGGACUAUGGUUUUCUGAUGGUCCGCCGUUGGAUUACCGUGGGAAGUUCGUUAAACCUUAUCAUUUAGAGGAAGGAGAAGUCGUAACA